AGCAGCCGCGGUAAUUCCAGCUCCAAUAGCGUAUAUUAAAGUUGUUGCAGUUAAAAAGCUCGUAGUUGAAUUUCGGGAUCAAUAUGCUGGUCGUGCCUUUGGUACGUACUGGUAUUAUUGGUUUCUCCUUUCUGAUGAAUCACGAUGUCAUUAAUUUGGUGUCAUGGGGAAUCAGGACUGUUACUUUGAAAAAUUAGAGUGUUUAAAGCAGGCUUACGCUUGAAUACACAUUAGCAUGGAAUAAUGAAAUAGGACGUUUAAUUCUAUUUUGUUGGUUUCUAGGAUUGACGUAAUGAUUAAUAGGGAUAGUUGGGGGCAUUAGUAUUCAAUUGUCAGAGGUGAAAUUCUUGGAUUUAUUGAAGACUAACUACUGCGAAAGCAUUUGCCAAGGAUGUUUUCAUUAAUCAAGAACGAAAGUUAGGGGAUCGAAGACGAUCAGAUACCGUCGUAGUCUUAACCAUAAACUAUGCCGACUAGGGAUCGGAUGAUGUUAAUUUAUGACUCAUUCGGCGUCCG
rnacentral:rRNA from 1 species